rnacentral:rRNA from 1 species
GACAGGAGGGACGGGCGUUAUUCAUCAUUACUAGGUGUAAAAAGUACGUAGGUUAGUUGUUUUUAGACGGAAUGAAUAUGGAGUUAUCGCUAAGCAGUUCCCGAAUUACAACAAAGAGUACAGAAGGAGAAAAUGUAAUUGCUGAGGUAGGGGUGAAAUCCAACGAGAUCAGUAGGAAAGCUAAAAGCGAAGGCAGUUUUCUAUUUUGUUCUAUCACUGAGGUACGAAGGUCUGGGUAUCAAACGGG